rnacentral:lncRNA from 1 species
AACACAAAAUAUGCUCCGGAUAGUAAUUUAAUUAAAUUUUACGAAGAAGAAAAUAAAGAUGAUAACAAAUUAAAGAAUUUUACGUAUACCAUUUGUAAUAAUAGUGAAGUACAAGAAAAAGCUCGAUUAGUGUUUAUAACUUACGAACAUCCAUUAUACAGUCAUAAAAUUACACAUAAUUCUAUAACAAAAAAUUGUAAUUAUUAUUACAAACAAUAUAAAUGUUUUAUUUGGACUGAUGCACAAACAAAUAUAAAUGACUCAGUUAAAACUUCAAAUAUAUUAGAUCAAAUACCUAAUAUGAAAGUUAUAUAUUUAGGUACAACGAUCCCAAUUUGCUGUGCUUUAAAUAUAACGACCAAUAUAUAUUUUUUUUUCUAUAUAUAUAAAGAAAAUAAAAAUUCUGUUAAAACAAUAAACAAAUUAAAAAAACAUCAAUUUAUAUAUUUAUAUCAUAUUUUUUCUAUUAAUAGAAAUGAUUUUUUUUAUAAUAAUGUUUUAUAUAAUAACAUUACUUUUAAUACAGAUGUUCAUAAACCUAACAUUAUAUUGAGUAAUGGUAUGAAUGAACCUUUUUUUAUUAAGUUGAAAGUUAUUUUUUUGGACAUUCAUAAUAGGAUCUUAUUUUUAUUUCCAAUUUAUGAUUAUAAAAAAAAAUAUAAAAUAAAAAUUAUCCCAAAUGUAUUAUUUUAUAGUACAUUAAAAAUGGGAAAAAAUACGAUAUUACCAGAAAACUAUUGGUAUAGCAUAAUUAAUGUAAUAAAUAAAAAAACUAAUAAAGAUUAUCUAGAAAUUAAAACAAAAUAUAUAAAUAAAAAUAUUAGUGUUAUAAAUACAACACAAAACAAAAAAAAAAUCAGUAGAUUACUAAAAAAAAUGUUCAAUGAAUUUGAACAAUGCAUAAAUAAAAAAUAUGAAAUAAAUUCUUUUGAAGAAGAAAAUAAUAUUCAAAAUAAGAAAGAUAAUAUAGAGUAUAAGUAUUCCCCUUUAAAUAUGCACCCAUUAGAUUUGAAUGAAUUAUUAGUUAUAUUAAACAAAGAAAAUGGUAUACUACAAUUGUAUUCAGAUGAUAUAUACAUCUGUGAUCUAUCUUUUCCAAAUAGUGCUGAAAACAUAUUUAAUAUUAAUAAUAAUGAGAAAGAAAUAUUUACUAUAGAAUAUGAUAUAAAUAAAGUUAUAUUAAGGUCAUAUGAAUUAUCAUGUUUCAGUAUAGAUCAAUACAAUGAUACUAUAAAACUUAUAUUUUCUUGUAUUUAUAAUACAUGUGAACAAAAAAUACACAUUGAAUUUUUAAAAUUUAUUUUGAUGGAAUGUACUUACAAAGA